rnacentral:lncRNA from 1 species
CCCCACUCCCCAACAGGAAGUAUGGCUUGUGCACAAAGUCUGGGCCGCCUGCCUAAUUGCAUUUCUGGCAGGGACUGGGGAGCUCUGCUCCCAGUGCCCUCCCCAACCCUUGCCUGCAGGCCCAGGCAGGGCUGGUUUCUUCUGAGUCCAGUGGGGGACACCAAGUGGGUAGAUUCUCCCGGAGAGGGGACACAGGAAUCUAUCCUUGGCUUUUAACAAGGUAGCCCAUGGGACAUCUAACAGGUGGCUAAUUUUCUCUUGUGCCUUAUUUCUGGAGGCACUGUUGGAGGAAGGAACCCUGGAAUAACCAGGGGGCAGCCUUUAGAGCCAGAGUAGAUAGGAGAGUUCAGUGGGCUCCUACAUGUCCCUCUCCUUAAUGUCACACCGAGGACAGAAGGGUCUCUUAUUUUGAAGUAUGGGGAAAAGGUGCCCCCCCCACUCCCUCUCCUUCCAUACCCAAACUGGCCGAUGCUAAUAUGGGAAAAAGGCCACUUGGUCACAUCACUAAGUGCUUGGAUUCUAUUUGGAAGGUAUUUGGAGGGGCAGUGGGCUCUAGGGUGCUGCUUUUCGUGUGGGCUGCAGCCCUUGGGAACUGGUGGAGACGUGGUGCCUCUGCUGGCUGGUGAGGAGGAAGAUGCACCAGGCAGCCUAACGCAGCCAGUCUUGGCCCACCACACUUGGUCUCUCUCUUUUUAAGUUUCCAGAGAUAAUCAGAAACCAUUACUUUUGUAAUAAAUAGCUCUUGUUUUCAACACUA